CCUCACUGAGCUAAGUAGGGUGAUGAGUUUUAAGUGAGCUUUACGUGUUCUAACGCAUACCCAGAUGGUCUAACAGUUUGACUCUGGAGUCAGCGGUGAUAAUGACAGAUUCCAAGACUCUCCGUUCCCCGUGUUCUUGGAUUAUUCCCGUGGUGAUGUGAUCCUGCGCUCAGAAGUUUGGACAGUGGCCUCCUGUUUCCCCAGCUUUCUGACUGGCAGAUCAGGUAUAGACGCUCCCUCCAGCCGUGGAUCCUGCUGCUCUAGCUCUGGAACUCUGUGCCCACAUCAAAGUUCCUUAAUACUGUUUGCUUGGACACAGCCUCCACGACUUUGGGUCUGGAAGAAUGAUUGGAAGCAGUCACAAUUCACAUUGGCUAACUUCCUUCCCACCCAGUGAU
ensembl:lncRNA